UGGGGGAUCGUCUAACGGUAGGACGACAGAAUCUGGAUCUGUUAAUCGGGGUUCGAAUCCCUGUCCCCCAG
rfam:Microgenomates bacterium GW2011_GWC1_37_12b TS39_C0001, whole genome shotgun sequence.